GACGAACGCUGGCGGCGUGCUUAACACAUGCAAGUCGAACGGAAAGGCCCUGCUUUUGUGGGGUGCUCGAGUGGCGAACGGGUGAGUAACACGUGAGUAACCUGCCCUUGACUUUGGGAUAACUUCAGGAAACUGGGGCUAAUACCGGAUAGCAGCUCCUGCUGCAUGGUGGGGGUUGGAAAGUUUCGGCGGUUGGGGAUGGACUCGCGGCUUAUCAGCUUGUUGGUGGGGUAGUGGCUUACCAAGGCUUUGACGGGUAGCCGGCCUGAGAGGGUGACCGGCCACAUUGGGACUGAGAUACGGCCCAGACUCCUACGGGAGGCAGCAGUGGGGAAUAUUGCACAAUGGGCGGAAGCCUGAUGCAGCAACGCCGCGUGCGGGAUGACGGCCUCCGGGUUGUAAACCGCUUUCGCCUGUGACGAAGCGUGAGUGACGGUAAUGGGUAAAGAAGCACCGGCUAACUACGUG
rnacentral:rRNA from 1 species